rnacentral:piRNA from 1 species
UAUAGUGGGAAAAACAUUGACGCAAUA